rnacentral:misc_RNA from 1 species
ACGAAUGUCGAGUCGGCCGACCGUGCUGGCGGAAACGCACGUGCACGUCGGUCGCAACACAUCCACACACCUGUGAACGUAUGGCCUUGGGUUUUCGGACCCGGGGCAAACCUUUUUUACCCACUCUGAUCGUAAAGGAAUGUCCACUUGCGAACUCGCAAAAGCUAA